rnacentral:rRNA from 1 species
GACGAACGCUGGCGGCGUGCUUAAUACAUGCAAGUCGAACGGAAAGGCCCUGCUUUUGCGGGUUGCACGAGUGGCGAAGGCGGGAGUAUCACGUGUGUAUACCCCCCUUAUCAGACGGGGAACUCCACGAAAAUGCGGCGAUAAUAGCAUAGAAUAUCUUGCACCGUGGGGGGGGAUGGAGAAAUUCGGCGGUUGUGGCUGGACUCGCGGCUUAUCAGCUUGUUUGUGGGGUAGUGGCUUACCAAGCCUAUGAAGGGUAGCCGGCCUGAGAGGGUGACCGGCCACAUUGGGACUGCGAUACGGCCCAGACUCCUACGGGCGGCAGCAGUGGGGAAUAUUGCAGAAUGGGCGGAAGCCUGAUGCAGCAACGCCGCGUGCGGGAUGACGGCUUUCGGGUUGUAAACCGCUUUCGCCUGUGCUGAAGCGUGAGUGACGGUAAUGGGUAAAGAAGCACCGGCUAACUACGUG